UGUGACCUCAAAUCAGGUAGGACUACCCGCUGAACUUAAGCAUAUCAAUAAGCGGAGGAAAAGAAACUAACAAGGAUUCCCCUAGUAACUGCGAGUGAAGCGGGAAAAGCUCAAAUUUAAAAUCUGGCAGUCUUUGGCUGUCCGAGUUGUAAUCUAGAGAAGUGUUAUCCGCGCUGGACCGUGUACAAGUCUCCUGGAAUGGAGCGUCGUAGAGGGUGAGAAUCCCGUCUUUGACACGGACUGCCAGGGCUUUGUGAUGCGCUCUCAAAGAGUCGAGUUGUUUGGGAAUGCAGCUCAAAAAGGGUGGUAAAUUCCAUCUAAAGCUAAAUAUUGGCGAGAGACCGAUAGCGAACAAGUACCGUGAGGGAAAGAUGAAAAGAACUUUGGAAAGAGAGU
rnacentral:rRNA from 2 species